UGGGGCAUUUCCCUCUAGCACCAAAGUUGGUUAUCAAGUGAGCAAACAAGUGGAAAGUGAUGGAUAAUUCAUGUAAGGAUGGGCACAGGAAACGAAGCUGCAGAGGAACUGUGGAGGGAAAGCCAGUGCAUAUGCACAGAUUUCAUGUGAAGGCCUCACAAUCUUCACAGAGGCUGAGAUUGGUUCUUCUGCACAGUCAUU
rnacentral:lncRNA from 10 species